rnacentral:rRNA from 1 species
UACGAAGGGGGCUAGCGUUGCUCGGAAUCACUGGGCGUAAAGGGCGCGUAGGCGGACAUUUAAGUCAGGGGUGAAAUCCCGGGGCUCAACCUCGGAAUUGCCUUUGAUACUGGGUGUCUCGAGACCGGAAGAGGUAAGUGGAACUGCGAGUGUAGAGGUGAAAUUCGUAGAUAUUCGCAAGAACACCAGUGGCGAAGGCGGCUUACUGGUCCGGUUCUGACGCUGAGGCGCGAAAGCGUGGGGAGCAAACAGG